AGGAUUCCCCUAGUAACUGCGAGUGAAGCGGGAAAAGCUCAAAUUUAAAAUCUGGCAGUCCUUUGGCUGUCCGAGUUGUAAUCUAUAGAAGUGUUAUCCGCGCUGGACCAUGUACAAGUCUCCUGGAAUGGAGCGUCAUAGAGGGUGAGAAUCCCGUCUUUGACAUGGACUACCAGGGCUUUUGUGAUGCGCUCUCAAAGAGUCGAGUUGUUUGGGAAUGCAGCUCAAAAUGGGUGGUAAAUUCCAUCUAAAGCUAAAUAUUGGCGAGAGACCGAUAGCGAACAAGUACCGUGAGGGAAAGAUGAAAAGAACUUUGGAAAGAGAGUUAAACAGUACGUGAAAUUGCUGAAAGGGAAACGCUUGAAGUCAGUCGCGUUGUCCAGGGAUCAACCUUGCUUUUGCUUGGUGCACUUUCUGGUUGACGGGUCAGCAUCAAUUUUGACUGUUGGAAAAAGAUAAGGGGAAUGUGGCAUCCUUGGAUGUGUUAUAGCCCUUUGUUGUAUACAAUGGUCGGGAUUGAGGAACUCAGCACGCCGCAAGGCCGGGUUUUUAUUUAAACCACGUUAACGUGCUUAGGAUGCUGGCAUAAUGGCUUUAAUCGACCCGUCUUGAAACACGGACCAAGGAGUCUAACAUGCCUGCGAGUGUUUGGGUGGAAAACCCGAGCGCGUAAUGAAAGUGAAAGUUGAGAUCCUUGUCGUGAGGAGCAUCGACGCCCGGACCUGACCUUUUGUGACGGCUCCGCGGUAGAGCAUGUAUGUUGGGACCCGAAAGAUGGUGAACUAUGCCUGAAUAGGGUGAAGCCAGAGGAAACUCUGGUGGAGGCUCGUAGCGAUUCUGACGUGCAAAUCGAUCGUCAAAUUUGGGUAUAGGGGCGAAAGACUAAUCGAACCAUCUAGUAGCUGG
rnacentral:rRNA from 1 species